GAUGAACGCUGGCGGCGUGCCUAAUACAUGCAAGUCGAGCGAACAGACGAGGAGCUUGCUCCUCUGACGUUAGCGGCGGACGGGUGAGUAACACGUGGAUAACCUACCUAUAAGACUGGGAUAACUUCGGGAAACCGGAGCUAAUACCGGAUAAUAUAUUGGACCGCAUGGUUCAAUAGUGAAAGACGGUUUUGCUGUCACUUAUAGAUGGAUCCGCGCCGCAUUAGCUAGUUGGUAAGGUAACGGCUUACCAAGGCGACGAUGCGUAGCCGACCUGAGAGGGUGAUCGGCCACACUGGAACUGAGACACGGUCCAGACUCCUACGGGAGGCAGCAGUAGGGAAUCUUCCGCAAUGGGCGAAAGCCUGACGGAGCAACGCCGCGUGAGUGAUGAAGGUCUUCGGAUCGUAAAACUCUGUUAUUAGGGAAGAACAAAUGUGUAAGUAACUACGCACGUCUUGACGGUACCUAAUCAGAAAGCCACGGCUAACUACGUG
rnacentral:rRNA from 1 species